AUACGGAGGGUGCAAGCGUUAAUCGGAAUUACUGGGCGUAAAGCGCUCGUAGGCGGUUUGUUAAGUCGGAUGUGAAAGCCCCGGGCUCAACCUGGGAACUACAUUCGAUACUGGCAAACUAGAGUAUAGUAGAGGCAAGUGGAAUUCCGGGUGUAGCGGUGAAAUGCGUAGAUAUCCGGAGGAACAUCAGUGGCGAAGGCGACUUGCUGGACUAAUACUGACGCUGAGGAGCGAAAGCGUGGGGAGCAAACGGGAUUAGAAACCCCGGUAGUCC
rnacentral:rRNA from 1 species